GGUCACGUAGCUCAAUGGUUAGAGCAACUCACAUGAAUUGGGUGAUCUGGGUUCGAGUCCCAGUGAGACCA